rfam:Perkinsus marinus ATCC 50983 gcontig_1104296638858, whole genome shotgun sequence.
GGGCGUGUGAUGUAGUGGUAUCACGUCUGCUUUGCAUGCAGAAGGCCCCGGGUUCAAACCCCGACACGUCCA